rnacentral:lncRNA from 1 species
CAGUUAAAUUCGGAAAACAUUUGUAUAGUAUUACAAAUUCCGAAAAUAGGAUUAUUGCAUAAGGAAAUAGAGAACAUAAUGCGUACUCUAUUACUUUUGACCAAACUACCUCAUCUCAUGAUCAUUGCAUGAUAGCAACCAGUUAGGGUAUCAAACGAGCCAAGCCGAGCUUUUGCUUAUAGAGCCAGGCUCGGGUCGUUAAGAUUUCAUCUGGGCUCGGG